CCUACGGGCGGCAGCAGUGAGGAAUAUUGGUCAAUGGGCUUACGCCUGAACCAGCCAAGUCGCGUGAGGGAAGACUGCCCUAUGGGUUGUAAACCUCUUUUGUCAGGGAGCAACGCCGGCUACGUGUAGCCGGACUGAGAGUACCUGAAGAAAAAGCAUCGGCUAACUCCGUGCCAGCAGCCGCGGUAAUACGGAGGAUGCGAGCGUUAUCCGGAUUUAUUGGGUUUAAGGGGUGCGUAGGCGGAAUGCCAAGUCAGCGGUAAAAUCGCGGGGCUCAACCUCGCUCCGCCGUUGAAACUGGCGGUCUUGAGUGGGCGAGAAGUAUGCGGAAUGCGUGGUGUAGCGGUGAAAUGCAUAGAUAUCACGAAGAACUCCGAUUGCGAAGGCAGCAUACCGGCGCCCAACUGACGCUGAAGCACGAAAGCGUGGGUAUCGAACAGGAUUAGAUACCCUAGUAGUC
rnacentral:rRNA from 1 species